AUUGGGUUGUCAGGUGAUUGCAAAACCUGAACUUGAUGGAAUUCGCUUGGCUAUUCCUGCUGCCACACGAAAUUUUGCUGUUGACGGGUAUGUUCCAAAACCACACUAGACAUGGUGCAACACUAAAAGUGUAUGCUGUGUAAAGGAUGCAAUUAUCCCAGUUUUGUAGCUAACAUAUUGUAUUCAACCAAUGACCAUCUCCAGUUCUAAAGUCAUUGUUUUUGUCAUUGAUUAUUACAUAUUUAUUUUGCUUAAUAAUGUUUGUAUGGAACUAAUUUUAUACUGGCAUCAUGUCAAGGGAAUAGAGGAUUGAGACUGUUGAAUCCAUUAUAAUGACAAAAGGGAAUGUCCUAG
rnacentral:misc_RNA from 1 species